GACGAACGCUGGCGGUGUGCUUAACACAUGCAAGUCGAACGGUAAGGCCCUUUCGGGGGUACACGAGUGGCGAACGGGUGAGUAACACGUGAGUAACCUGCCCUCAUCUCUGGGAUAACAGUCGGAAACGGUUGCUAAUACUGGAUAUGAGCCUGCAAGGCAUCUUGUGGGUUGGAAAGAUUUUUUGGUUGGGGAUGGACUCGCGGCCUAUCAGCUUGUUGGUGAGGUAGUGGCUCACCAAGGCUUCGACGGGUAGCCGGCCUGAGAGGGCGACCGGCCACAUUGGGGCUGAGAUACGGCCCAAACUCCUACGGGAGGCAGCAGUGGGGAAUAUUGCACAAUGGACGGAAGUCUGAUGCAGCAACGCCGCGUGCGGGAUGACGGCCUUCGGGUUGUAAACCGCUUUCAAUUGUGACGAAGCUUUUUGUGACGGUAGCAGUAGAAGAAGCACCGGCUAACUACGUG
rnacentral:rRNA from 1 species